GUUAACCUAGUUUAAUAAGAAUAUUAAGUUGUGGUCUUAAAGGUGAGUACUUAACUCGGUUAAUC
rnacentral:tRNA from 1 species